GUCUUGCCAUUUUGAAAAGUGGCAUUAUAAAAUGAAAAAGGGAGGUCGGAAAUACAAUGUUCAUUACUCCUGUAAAGUCUUAUUCAGCUCUGCAAUCAACCUAGACAACUAGAUGCAUCAAUCAAUCGACAUCAAAUCUUGGCUGUGUGUUGCUGAAGGCUCUGGUGCUGAUUUGAGAGUUAGUGGAAUUUGAGUAGUUGAGGUGAGAAGCAGGAAGCAAUGCUGCUGCUGCUGCUGCUGCACGGUUGGUCUUGGUGGUGGGUUGUAGGUGGGUCUGCCAGAAGACAUCAAAGGUAAGGAGCUGGUUAUGUACCUUCACUAGUGGAAUGCCGCUGUGCUGAAGUGCUGUUUUCUCUUUUGGAUUUUUGGAGAUUGUUGCUUGUGCUACACUAGGUGAGAAUUGUUGUUGAGGAGUGAAGAUUAUAUUUUUAAUUAUGCUCUGU